rnacentral:rRNA from 1 species
GGCCUAACACAUGCAAGUCGAACGGUAACAGGAAGCAGCUUGCUGCUUCGCUGACGAGUGGCGGACGGGUGAGUAAUGUCUGGGAAACUGCCUGAUGGAGGGGGAUAACUACUGGAAACGGUAGCUAAUACCGCAUAACGUCGCAAGACCAAAGAGGGGGACCUUCGGGCCUCUUGCCAUCGGAUGUGCCCAGAUGGGAUUAGCUAGUAGGUGGGGUAACGGCUCACCUAGGCGACGAUCCCUAGCUAGUCUGAGAGGAUGACCAGCCACACUGGAACUGAGACACGGUCCAGACUCCUACGGGAGGCAGCAGUGGGGAAUAUUGCACAAUGGGCGCAAGCCUGAUGCAGCCAUGCCGCGUGUAUGAAGAAGGCCUUCGGGUUGUAAAGUACUUUCAGCGGGGAGGAAGGCGACAGGGUUAAUAACCCUGUCGAUUGACGUUACCCGCAGAAGAAGCACCGGCUAACUCCGUGCCAGCAGCCGCGGUAAUACGGAGGGUGCAAGCGUUAAUCGGAAUUACUGGGCGUAAAGCGCACGCAGGCGGUCUGUCAAGUCGGAUGUGAAAUCCCCGGGCUCAACCUGGGAACUGCAUUCGAAACUGGCAGGCUAGAGUCUUGUAGAGGGGGGUAGAAUUCCAGGUGUAGCGGUGAAAUGCGUAGAGAUCUGGAGGAAUACCGGUGGCGAAGGCGGCCCCCUGGACAAAGACUGACGCUCAGGUGCGAAAGCGUGGGGAGCAAACAGGAUUA